rnacentral:rRNA from 1 species
UUGAAAGGGAAACGAUUGAAGUCAGUCAUGCCAGUGGGAAUCAACUUAGGGGAAACUCUAGGUGCACUUCUUCGCUUGGCAGGUCAACGUCGAUUUUGAAUGUCAUAAAAUAAUUGGGGGAAGGUAGCUCCUUCGGGAGUGUUAUAGCCCUUGAUAGAUGUGAUGUUUGGGGUCGAGGAUUGCAACGGAUACCCUCUGGGGCUAGCCGCCUGAUCUCUAAUCGGUGUUGGGUUACGGAUAGCAUGCUGACCGUGAUCUAAUUACUGGUUAAAAGGUUAGAGCGUGCAUAAAUUCGUUAAGGAUGUUGACGUA